GCAUUGGUGGUUCAGUGGUAGAAUUCUCGCUUUCCAUGUGAGAGGCCUGGGUCUGAUUCCCAGCCAAUGCA